UACCUAGGCGUCAGAAACAAUUCAAGAAUUCAAAUAUGGCCAAUUGGCUUUAUUUGAAUUCUUGAAUUGUUUCUGACGCCUAGGUA